GACAGAGGGGGCGAGCGUUGUCCGGAGUCACUGGGCGUAAAGCGCGCGCAGGCGGCAACCUAAGUGUCGUGUGAAAGCCCCCGGCUCAACCGGGGGAGGCCAUGGCAAACUGGGUCGCUCGAGCUGCGGAGAGGCCCCUCGAAGUGCCGGUGUAGCGGUGAAAUGCGUAGAGAUCGGCAGGAAGACCAAGGGGGGAGCCAGGGGGCUGGCCGCAGGCUGGCGCUGAGGCGCGACAGCGUGGGGAGCAAACCGG
rnacentral:rRNA from 1 species